CAAACUAUGAUAAGAUAACUAUAAAUAUAAAUAGAUCGUUUGCGUGCAUUGUAACCGGCAAUCUAUUUGCAAAGAUACAAUAUAUGACCUAGGGUCUUAAGUCAGUCACUGGGAGGCGGAAGUGAAGGUGUUAGCAACACUUUUUUUGGCAAUUUUUUUUUCACAUUCCGAAUUAAACUAUUUUCUACGUAUCGAAAACCGAUGCUAUCCAGGAAUCUGUCAGUUAUACCAACAAUAGCAAGUAGAAGUCUCCAGUCUAUAUCCCAGCCAUGCAACUUUACAACACCAGCAUUAUGCAUGAACUCUCUUGCCGCGCGAACGUUAACAACCAAAUCGUUAAAUAAAUCCUUAGAUUUGUUUACGAAUUCGGAUAAGCCGAUAACGUUAACCGGAAAGGGACCACUUCAAAUAAGUUUAAAUGAAGAGAGACCGUUGACAAUUAUUCUUGCCUGGCUAAUGUCGCAACAGAAGCAUAUCCAGAAAUAUGCGAAAUAUUAUCUAGACAAUGGAUUUGAUGUUCUCACUGUGAAAACAACUCCAUGGCAACUAUUAUGGCCUGUUGGUGGAAGUCAGGUCGUUGCCAAUGAUCUUCUAACAUUUCUGCAUCAAAAUCCAAAUUACUAUUUCCAUGGUCGUUCAUGGAUUUUCUGUCGGUGCGUAUUUAUGGGGUGAAACGAUGGUAAAGAUGACCGAAGAUAUGGUAAAAUAUGGUCCGACAGUACGCCGGAUCUGCGGGCAAAUUUGGGAUUCACCGGUUGACUAUUCUGAAAUUCCGAUAGGUGUGCCUAAGUCAGUGUUUCCGACGAACACUUUUCUCAGAAAUGCUCUAGAGCGGUAUAUUGUUUUUCAUAUGAAGAACAUGAAGACAUCGACUAAAUGUCAUCUAAAGGCAACAGAUCAGUUUUAUGAUACAAUUAUUCCUGCUCCAGCAAUGUUUCUGUUUUCGCUCAAUGACCCUAUGGUGUCGCUUAGAAGUGUUGAAACCUGCACGGAGUCAUGGCAGAAAAAGGGUUUGACAGUGAACUUACGGGCAUGGGACGAACCACCACACGUUGGAAUUUUUCAACGACAUCCGGAAGAGUAUCAAGAUGAGGUGAAAAAGUUCAUGGAAAGACAUGUCUUUAAGAAUAAUUGCGGAGGAAAUAAGUUUAAGGAAGCGAUGGCUGUCUGAUUUUGUUAAAAUCUGGUAAAAUUUAUACGGCGCUUUCAACGCUAAAAAAACCGAAAAUUUAAAUUUUGAAGAAACCAAUCAAAGUUUUAAAACUUGAA